UCCGAGCCUGGGUCUCCCUCUC
rnacentral:miRNA from 1 species